rnacentral:rRNA from 1 species
GGGGAAUAUUGGACAAUGGGCGGAAGCCUGAUCCAGCAACGCCGCGUGAGGGAUGACGGCCUUCGGGUUGUAAACCUCUUUUGGUAGGGACGAAGCGUGAGUGACGGUACCUACUAAAGAAGCACCGGCCAACUACGUGCCAGCAGCCGCGGUAAUACGUAGGGGGCGGGCGUUGUCCGGAUUUAUUGGGCGUAAAGAGCUCGUAGGCGGUUCGGUAAGUCGGAUGUGAAAUCUCCACGCUCAACGUGGAGAGGCCAUUCGAUACUGCCGUGACUCGAGUCCGGUAGGGGAGUGUGGAAUUCCCGGUGUAGCGGUGAAAUGCGCAGAGAUCGGGAGGAACACCCGUAGCGAAGGCGGCACUCUGGGCCGGAACUGACGCUGAGGAGCGAAAGCGUGGGGAGCAAA